CGGGGAAUAUUGGGCAAUGGGCGAAAGCCUGACCCAGCAACGCCGCGUGAGGGAAGAAGGGUUUCGGCUCGUAAACCUCUGUCCUAUGGGACGAAGGAGGUGACGGUACCAUAGGAGGAAGCCCCGGCUAACUACGUGCCAGCAGCCGCGGUAAUACGUAGGGGGCGAGCGUUGUCCGGAAUGAUUGGGCGUAAAGGGCGCGUAGGCGGCCUGUUAAGUCUGGAGUGAAAGUCCUGCUUUCAAGGUGGGAAUUGCUUUGGAUACUGAUGGGCUGGAGUGCAGGAGAGGAAAGCGGAAUUACCGGUGUAGCGGUGAAAUGCGUAGAGAUCGGUAGGAACACCAGUGGCGAAGGCGGCUCUCUGGACUGAAACUGACGCUGAGGCGCGAAAGCGUGGGGAGCAAACAGGAUUAGAUACCC
rnacentral:rRNA from 1 species